CAAUAGCGUAUAUUAAAGUUGUUGCAGUUAAAAAGCUCGUAGUUGGACUUCUGCGGGUGGCGGCCGGUCGUGCUCGAAACGGGCGUGAACUUGGCGUGCUGCCCGCAUCUUUGGGGAGAUUGUGCGUGGCAUUAAGUUGUCGUGCAUGGGAUUCUCAUCAUUUACUGUGAAAAAAUUAGAGUGUUUAAAGCAGGCCUUUGCCUUGAAUACAUUAGCAUGGAAUAAUAAGAUAGGACCGUUGUCUAUUUUGUUGGUUUACAGAUGUCGGUAAUGAUUAAUAGGGAUAGUUGGGGGUAUUCGUAUUCAGUUGUCAGAGGUGAAAUUCUUGGAUUUUCGGAAGACGCACGACUGCGAAAGCAUUUACCAAGGAUGUUUNCAUCAA
rnacentral:rRNA from 1 species